rnacentral:rRNA from 1 species
GACGAACGCUGGCGGCGUGCCUAAUACAUGCCAGUAGAACGCACAGUUUAUACCGUAGCUUGCUACACCAUACACUGUGAGUUGCGAACGGGUGAGUAACGCGUAGGUAACCUGCCUGGUAGCGGGGGAUAACUAUUGGAAACGAUAGCUAAUACCGCAUAAUAUUGAUUAUUGCAUGAUAAUUGAUUGAAAGAUGCUAUUGCAUCACUACCAGAUGGACCUGCGUUGUAUUAGCUAGUAGGUGAGGUAACGGCUCACCUAGGCGACGAUACAUAGCCGACCUGCGAGGGUGAUCGGCCACACUGGGACUGAGACACGGCCCAGACUCCUACGGGAGGCAGCAGUAGGGAAUCUUCGGCAAUGGACGAAAGUCUGACCGAGCAACGCCGCGUGAGUGAAGAAGGUUUUCGGAUCGUAAAGCUCUGUUGUAAGAGAAGAACGGGUGUGAGAGUGGAAAGUUCACACUGUGACGGUAGCUUACCAGAAAGGGACGGCUAACUACGUG